UAAAAGUCUUUUAAUUAGCAAAUCAUCUUUGCAUCACCAAGUAUUUGUGACUCAUGUCCUGGAUUGCUGACGUGUGUGUGUAAAUGUAGCAGCACUUGUGUCAUAAGUACAGGAAUCCAGCGUGCUCCCACAAUCCAAUUUUAUCAUCCAGGUUAAUUUCUGCCUUUAACUAAUCAGAUUACUGCCUGUGAGCUGCUUUAGCACCCCCCCCCCUCUCUUCCAUCCUCCCAUGUGUUUGCUUAGCCCCUCCAGUUUUGCCUCUGUGCGUUUCCAUCACAUCGAGUCUGUCCGUUGCGAUCCCUCUCUCUCUCUCCUGCUCUUUUAUUCUUCUGUCUGAGCCUGUGAUCAGGACUGUCUGUUCUUUUCCUCUAUUUCCUCCGUUUUCUUCUUUCCUUUUCAUUCCAACAUGUUUCAUAACCCGUGGAUUACUAACUAUCUCAACCACAUCACACAGUGUAGUCAAGGCUUUGUUGGUGAAGCUUCUGCUAAGCUCUACAGCCCUGCACUACUGACGAAAAGAGCAAUAAGGUCAGAAUCCAUUCAUCUCUCAAUUUUAAAGACUUUUUAUGACCCAACCUUUCUUCUUUUUGUUUUAAAGCUGAUCCCAUUAGUUAAAUUAAAUACGGAAUCAAUCUCUUUAUCUUCUUUAAUACUUUGCACUAAAUGCAGUUAAUAAGAUGCUUUUUUUUGCACUAUGGACUUUAGGACAUUGAUUGUGUGUUGUCUUGCACAUUUUGAGCUAAAUGAAGGGAUAGAUAUUUUGGAUACUUUGGUCAGUAACUGUGAUUUAAGAAUCAAUAUAUUGUGCAGAGUCCUGGCCAACGAAAAAGACAUUGCUGUAGGAGAAGGGGAGGCAUAGUCUGCUUUUAUCAUCACAGACCCAGAGUGUGUAUGUGUGGGUGUAUGCAUGUUAUCUUUUGUUGUUUCCAUUGGUUAAACUGUUGAAAGAGAAGAAUUUGCUCUUGACAUCUUUGUGUUCAAAAUAAAUCAAAACUUCUGUCAUCCUGGUGUCCUCAAUAUAACACAAUAUAGAAAAAAGACAUGUUUUAGUCACUUACACAAAUUCAACCAGUAUUUAACAAAAAUCUGAAGUCAGAAAUCUAGUCAGAAUUUGUAUGUUUAUUUACAGUAUUAGUAAAAUAUAAUUUUGUUCAAUUUUAAUUUAAAAUUAAAUUAAGCUAAUUUCUUGAUUCUGAUUGGUUGCUACAUGUUACAAGGGCUUUAUAGAAUGGUGAUGAUGUAGUGUGAGAUUUGUUGACCACAUUACAGUAGCAUUUAAUUCCACCACAUUCUUUCUGGACACAUUUAAGCUGGUUAGUCACUGCUUGUUUUUAAAUUAAUCAGUGUUGUAAUAGCCAUUACACUUUGGUAUGCAUUAAUGUUCAAUACUGCAGUUGUACAGAGGCAGUUAUCCAUCCAUGCAUUGUUUCCAUUUUGGGUGUGUCUGAAAAGUUUCUGCGAAUGCAGUCUAAAUUAGUUUAAGCUCUUAUUAGAGUUCUGCUGCCCUGCUUUUGAAAUUAUUUUGCAUAGCAGCAUGUGUAGCAACGGGUUUGCUGUAAACAGGAGUAAUUGGAGUGUGCUGUUUGGGCUGGCAGGACUGGUACCAGGGUGAAGGGAACUCUAGAUGUAUAAAUACCUUAGCAGCUAAUCUAUUCCUCUGGUCAGAUUCAAGUAAACGUUCAAGAUCCUGAAAGCUAAUUCAGCAUUUUCACACGGGAACACAUUGGAAAGGUUGCUCUUGACCUGCCAGUGUAAAAUUUUGGAGGCACUCUGUGCCAAAUUAAAUUCUUAUAAGGUGUGCAGGUGUUGGAAAAGUGAAUAUAUUGAGUCAGGUUGGAGUCAUAGACAAGCAGGCAGUGCAUAUACUGGAUGCGCCAAGUAGGACAUGUUCCUGGGUCCAUGCCUUGUUGAUCCUAGAACAACAUUCAAUCAAUCAAUCACCUUUAUUUAUAUAGUGCUUUAAACAAAAUACAUUGCGCCAAAGCACUGAACAACAUUCAUUUGGAAAACAGUGUCUCAAUAAUGCAAAAUGAUAGUUAAAGGCAGUUCAUCAUUGAAUUCAUUGAUGUCAUCUCUGUUCAGUUGAAAUAGUGUCUGUUUUAAUUUGCAAUCAAGUCAACGAUAUCGCUGUAGAUGAAGUGACCCCAACUAAGCAAGCCAGAGGCGACAGCGGCAAGGAACCGAAACUCCAUCGGUGACAGAAUGGAGAAAAAAACCUUGGGAGAAACCAGGCUCAGUUGGGGGGCCAGUUCUCCUCUGACCAGACGAAACCAGUAGUUCAAUUCCAGGCUGCAGCAAAGUCAGAUUGUGCAGAAGAAUCAUCUGUUUCCUGUGGUCUUGUCCUGGUGCUCCUCUGAGACAAGGUCUUUACAGGGGAUCUGUAUCUGGGGCUCUAGUUGUCCUGGUCUCCGCUGUCUUUCAGGGCAGUAGAGGUCCUUUCUAGGUGCUGAUCCACCAUCUGGUCUGGAUACGUACUGGAUCCGGGUGACUGCAGUGACCCUCUGAUCUGGACACAGACUGGAUCUGGUGGCCAUGGUGACCUCGGAACAAGAGAGAAACAGACAAAUAUUAGCGUAGAUGCCAUUCUUCUAAUGAUGUAGAAAGUACGGUGUUAUGUGAAGUGUUUCCGGUUUACCUAAUUAAUGCAGCCUAAAAAUCCUUUAACGGAUUUGGAUAUUAAAAGCAUAUUAGUAUGUUAUGUGUAUGCCAGGUUAAAGAGAUGGGUCUUUAAUCUAGAUUUAAACUGCAAGAGUGUGUCUGCCUCCCGAACAAUGUUAGGUAGGUUAUUCCAGAGUUUAGGCGCCAAAUAGGAAAAGGAUCUGCCGCCCGCAGUUGAUUUUGAUAUUCUAGGUAUUAUCAAAUUGCCUGAGUUUUGAGAACGUAGCGGACGUAGAGGAGUAUAAUGUAAAAGGAGCUCAUUCAAAUACUGAGGUGCUAAACCAUUCAGGGCUUUAUAAGUAAUAAGCAAUAUUUUAAAAUCUAUACGAUGUUUGAUAGGGAGCCAGUGCAGUGUGGACAGGACCGGGCUAAUAUGGUCAUACUUCCUGGUUCUAGUAAGAACUCUUGCUGCUGCAUUUUGGACUAGCUGUAGUUUGUUUACCAAGCGUGCAGAACAACCACCCAAUAAAGCAUUACAGUAGUCUAACCUUGAAGUCAUAAAUGCAUGGAUUAACAUUUCUGCAUUUGACAUUGAGAGCAUAGGCCGUAAUUUAGAUUUUUGAGAU
ensembl:lncRNA